rnacentral:rRNA from 1 species
UUCUCCUGGAAACGGGUGGUAAUGCCGGAUGCUCCAGUUGACCGCAUGGUCCUCUGGGAAAGCUUUUGCGGUAUGGGAUGGGGUCGCGUCCUAUCAGCUUGAUGGCGGGGUAACGGCCCACCAUGGCUUCGACGGGUAGCCGGCCUGAGAGGGCGACCGGCCACAUUGGGACUGAGAUACGGCCCAGACUCCUACGGGAGGCAGCAGUGGGGAAUAUUGCACAAUGGGCGCAAGCCUGAUGCAGCGACGCCGCGUGCGGGAUGACGGCCUUCGGGUUGUAAACCGCUUUUGACUGGGAGCAAGCCCUUCGGGGUGAGUGUACCUUUCGAAUAAGCACCGGCUAACUACGUGCCAGCAGCCGCGGUAAUACGUAGGGUGCAAGCGUUAUCCGGAAUUAUUGGGCGUAAAGGGCUCGUAGGCGGUUCGUCGCGUCCGGUGUGAAAGUCCAUCGCUUAACGGUGGAUCCGCGCCGGGUACGGGCGGGCUUGAGUGCGGUAGGGGAGACUGGAAUUCCCGGUGUAACGGUGGAAUGUGUAGAUAUCGGGAAGAACACC